GACGAACGCUGGCUGCGUGCUUAACACAUGCAAGUCGAACGAAGUGCCGAACGGGUGAGUAACGCGUAAUCAACCUGCCCUUCAGAGGGGGACAACAGUUGGAAACGACUGCUAAUAUCGCAUACUGAAGGAGGGGAUUGCGUCUGAUUAGCUGGUUGGCGGGGGAACGGCCAACCAAGGCGAUGAUCAGUAGCCGGUGUGAGAGGGUGAAGGGCGACACUGGGACUGGGACACGGCCAAGACGCAUACGGGAGGCAGCAGUGGGGAUUCGUCCGAAAUGGACGAAAGUCUGACGGAGCAACGCCGCGUGAGUGAUGACGGCCUUCGGGUUGUAAAGCUCUGUUAAUCGGGACGCGGUACCGGAAUAGAAAGCCACGGCUAACUACGUGCCAGCAGCCGCGGUAAUAC
rnacentral:rRNA from 1 species